GCCGAUGACACCGCCCAGGGGGGUGCAAA
rnacentral:sRNA from 1 species